GUGCUUGUUUUGGCAGCACACAUACAAAAAUUGGAUCUACACAGAGAUUAGCAUAGCCCCUGAGCAAGAAUGACAUUUAAACUCAGAAGUGUUCCUUAUUUUU